rnacentral:rRNA from 1 species
AACGAACGCUGGCGGCGCGCCUAAUACAUGCAAGUCGAGCGAGAAGGUGUAGCAAUACACUUGUAAAGCGGCGAACGGGUGAGGAAUACAUGGGUAACCUACCCUCGAGUGGGGAAUAACUAGCCGAAAGGUUAGCUAAUACCGCAUACGAUUCCAGGACUUCGGUCCUGGAAGGAAAGCACUACCGUGGGUAGUGCGCUCCUGGAUGGGCUCAUGUCCUAUCAGCUUGUUGGNGAGGUAAAGGCUCACCAAGGCUUCGACGGGUAGCUGGUCUGAGAGGACGAUCAGCCACACUGGCACUGCGACACGGGCCAGACCUCCUACGGGAGGCAGCAGUAAGGAAUAUUGCGCAAUGGGCGAAAGCCUGACGCAGCGACGCCGC